CGCCGAUUGCGUCACAGCGAUGCGCCCUUAUUGCUGUUCCAAUAAGGGUCCUUCAAAUGCGGCCUACGAAUGCAGCCUUCUUUUCCCGGAUUUGAAGGAUGCAUUGGCUGUAUCCUUCACGGCCCAACGUAUCCCAAGGUCCUUCACGGCCCAAUGUAUCCCUCCCAAGAUUCAUUGCGCAUUCAAUCAAUGGAGAUGGCGGAGAAUGGCGAUUUAAGUUUUGCAUUUAAAUGAAGCCAGCAGCAUACUGCUCGAUUUAUUCAAUUGAGGGGGGAGAACGAUGAGCUGUUCACCGGGGUGAAAUACUCAGCAAGUGUGGCUUGGGGGACAAUUCUGGAGAAAAUAGGCCUGCAGGGGAAGGUGACUCCCCUGCAGGCAAAGAAAAAAAUGGGACGAUUUAAAAAAUAUAUAUAAAGUAUGUAUACUUUAUAUAUAUUUUUUAAAUCGUCCCAUUUUUUCUUUGCCUCCUCAGCACUGUGCCCUUUCUGAGCGGAUUCAAGAAGAUCAGCUGGAAUUUUAGUGAAAAGGCACAUGGGAAAGGCGCCCCUGAUGGAGUUGGUGGGGCUGUAAAGCGCCUUGCAGAUACAGCGGUGCAGAGAGGGAAAGCUUACAGUCUCCUGAGGACUUUUACCAAUUUCUAAAAGACCAGACAUCAAGUGUCACAUACUUUUGGAUUUCUGAGGAUGCCAUUGAAAGGUAUGAUGACAAAGUCCCAGCAGUUGUCCCUGCUGUGAAGGGUACGAUGAAACUACACCAGGUGACCUGCGAGAAGCCAGCCUCAAUCCGCUACAGUACAUGUCAUUUUAAAUAUACAUUAUUUGUUUUUACCAUGCAAG
ensembl:lncRNA